AGAAAAGCAGGGGAUCGCAAGACCUUGCGCUUUUAGAGCGGCCGAUGUCUGAUUAGCUAGUUGGUGAGGUAAAGGCUUACCAAGGCUUCGAUCAGUAGCUGGUCUGAGAGGACGACCAGCCACACUGGGACUGAGACACGGCCCAGACUCCUACGGGAGGCAGCAGUGGGGAAUUUUGGACAAUGGGGGAAACCCUGAUCCAGCCAUGCCGCGUGAGUGAAGAAGGCCUUCGGGUUGUAAAGCUCUUUCAGCCGGAACGAAACGGUCACGGCUAAUACCUGUGAUCAAUGACGGUACCGGAAGAAGAAGCACCGGCUAACUACGUGCCAGCAGCCGCGGUAAUACGUAGGGUGCGAGCGUUAAUCGGAAUUACUGGGCGUAAAGCGUGCGCAGGCGGUUUUGUAAGUCAGAUGUGAAAUCCCCGGGCUUAACCUGGGAACUGCGUUUGAAACUACAAG
rnacentral:rRNA from 1 species